GGCAGUCCAUGGGUCUUUUAGAGGCUGUCCAAAGUGCCCUUGGUCCCAUAUGUGCCUUCUUUGUGCAUGUGUGAAGGCAAAAACGUGGAGCAUGCAUUGGAUUGCAAGUGGGGGCUCUUUGGUCCUUUAAUUGCUGCCCAAGAUCAUCAAGUUGCUGCCCAAGAAGUUCAAGAGGUUGCCCAUGCACUAAUAAGGAAGGUGGAGCCUCCUUUUGAAAUUUGAAUGUGCAUGGCAUGAAGUGGGAAACAUGUGAUCUUUGGAUUUGGCUUCCUUAAUAAGCUGGAUCUUGAAAU
rnacentral:lncRNA from 1 species